UGGGGGAUUUUGCACAAUGGGCGCAAGCCUGAUGCAGCGACGCCGCGUGAGGGAUGAAGGCCUUCGGGUUGUAAACCUCUUUCGCUGGGUUGAAAGGCCAUGCUUUGGGUGUGGUUGAUUUGAACUGGUAAAGAAGUACCGGCUAACUACGUGCCAGCAGCCGCGGUAAUACGUAGGGUACUAGCGUUGUCCGGAUUUAUGGGCGUAAAGGGCUUGUAGGUGGUUUGUCGCGUCUGUCGUGAAAUCCUGUGGCUUAACCAUGGGCUUGCGGUGGGUACGGGCAGGCUUGAGUGCGGUAGGGGAGACUGGAAUUCCUGGUGUAGCGGUGGAAUGCGCAGAUAUCAGGAGGAACACCGGUGGCGAAGGCGGGUCUCUGGGCCGUUACUGACACUGAGGAGCGAAAGCGUGGGGAGCGAACAGG
rnacentral:rRNA from 1 species